rnacentral:rRNA from 1 species
UACGAAGGGUGCGAGCGUUAUUCGGAAUUAUUGGGCGUAAAGGGUUCGUAGGUGGGAAGAUAAGUCAAGUGUGAAAUGUCCGGGCUUAACCUGGAGAGUGCAUUUGAAACUGUUUUUCUUGAGUGUUGAAGAGGGUGGUGGAAUUGCUGGUGUAGGAGUGACAUCCGUAGAGAUCAGCAGGAACAUCGGAGGCGAAGGCGGCCACCUGGUCAAUCACUGAAGCUGAGGAACGAAAGCAUGGGGAGCAAACAGG